AACCCUCUCACAAAACAACUUUAUUGUUGCUCUUUUGUGGAUGUUGAGUGUUGCUAUAUUUUUUAUAGCUCACUUUAAAUAUAUAAGUCACACUUUUCAAGUAAGUUGGAUUGACUUGGUGUAAUAAUUUCAUCAUCACAUCAAGGAAAGUAGCAAUACUUGCCAUCUUUUGAAAGGAGGGACUCCUAAAAAAACCCCUCAUAACACUUUU
rnacentral:misc_RNA from 1 species